AGCGAACGCUGGCGGCAGGCCUAAAACAUGCAAGUCGAACGAACCCUUCGGGGUUAGUGGCGGACGGGUGAGUAACACGUGGGAACGUGCCCUUUGGUUCGGAACAACUCAGGGAAACUUGAGCUAAUACCGAAUGUGCCCUUCGGGGGAAAGAUUUAUCGCCAUUGGAGCGGCCCGCGCUGGAUUAGCUAGUUGGUGAGGUAAAGGCUCACCAAGGCUACGAUCCAUAGCUGGUCUGAGAGGAUGAUCAGCCACACUGGGACUGAGACACGGCCCA
rnacentral:rRNA from 1 species